rnacentral:rRNA from 1 species
UGGGGAAUAUUGGGCAAUGGGCGAAAGCCUGACCCAGCAACGCCGCGUGAAGGAAGAAGGCCUUCGGGUUGUAAACUUCUUUUAAGAGGGACGAAGAAGUGACGGUACCUCUUGAAUAAGCCACGGCUAACUACGUGCCAGCAGCCGCGGUAAUACGUAGGUGGCGAGCGUUAUCCGGAUUUACUGGGUGUAAAGGGCGCGUAGGCGGGAAUGCAAGUCAGAUGUGAAAUCCAAGGGCUCAACCCUUGAACUGCAUUUGAAACUGUAUUUCUUGAGUGUCGGAGAGGUUGACGGAAUUCCUAGUGUAGCGGUGAAAUGCGUAGAUAUUAGGAGGAACACCAGUGGCGAAGGCGGUCAACUGGACGAUAACUGACGCUGAGGCGCGAAAGCGUGGGGAGCAAACAGGA